GAGGAGCAGGGUUCUGGUGGAGGAGCAGGGUUCUGAUAGAGGAGCAGGGUUCUGAUAGAGGAGCAGGGUUCUGGUGGAGGAGCAGGGUUCUGAUAGAGGAGCAGGGUUCUGAUAGUGGAGCAGGGUUCUGGUGGAGGAGCAGGGUUCUGAUAGAGGAGCAGGGUUCUGAUAGUGGAGCAGGGUUCUGGUGGAGGAGCAGGGUUCUGAUAGAGGAGCAGGGUUCUGAUGGAGGAGCAGGGUUCUGGUGGAGGAGCAGGGUUCUGGUGGAGGAGCAGAGUUCUGAUAGAGGAGCAGGGUUCUGGUGGAGGAGCAGGGUUCUGAUAGAGGUACAGGGUUCUGAUAGAGGAGCAGGGUUCUGAUGGAAGAGCAGGGUUCUGGUAGAGGAGCAGGGUUCUGGUGGAGGAGCAUGGUUCUGAUAGAGGAUCAGGGUUCUGGUGGAGGAGCAGGGUUCUGGUAGAGGAGCAGGGUUCUGAUAGAGGAUCAGGGUUCUGAUGGAGGAGCAUGGUUCUGGUGGGGGUGAAGGAGCAGGGUUCUGGUGGAGGAGCAUGGUUCUGAUAGAGGUGGAGGAGCAGGGUUCUGAUAGAGAAGCAGGUUUCUGAUAGAGGAGCAGGGUUCUGAUGGAGGAGCAGGGAUCUGGUAGAGGAGCAGGGUUCUGGUGGAGGAGCAUGGUUCUGAUAGAGGAGCAGGGUUCUGAUAGAGGAUCAGGGUUCUGAUGGAGGAGCAUGGUUCUGGUGGGGGUGAAGGAGCAGGGUUCUGGUGGAGGAGCAUGGUUCUGAUAGAGGUGGAGGAGCAGGGUUCUGAUAGAGAAGCAGGUUUCUGGUGGAGGAGCAGAGUUCUGGUGAAGGAGCAGGGUUCUGAAAGAGGAGCAGAGUUCUGGUGGAGGUGGAGGAGCAGGGUUCUGGUGGAGGUGAAGGAGCAGGGUUCUGGUGGAGAUGGAUCAGGUUUCUAGCGAAGGAGCAGGGUUUUGGUGGAGGUGAAGGAGCAGGGUUCUGGUGGUAGAGCAGAGUUCUGGUGGAGGUGGAGGAGCAGGGUUCUGGUGGAGAUGGAGCAGGGUUCUAGUGAAGGAGCAGGGUUUUGAUGGAGGUGGAGAAGCAGGGUUCUGGUGGGUGGAGGAGCAGGGUUGUGAAAUCCUGUGAAACCGUGUUUCAUUUGGCAUUUAAAUUCAAGCCAGGACGCUUAGCAUCGUCAUACAUUACCACAACAAUUAGGCCAGCUAUUCAAUCUGUUGCCUUGC
ensembl:lncRNA